CAAUAAACUUCAUUGUGGUUGCAGAAACUGAUGCUGGUUUCUGUCCAACACGGCGGAAGCUGCCUGUCUCUAUUUGUUUUUUCCUCUUAGCAAUGAAAUUCUUUACCUAUGAAGAAAAAAAGGAAAAAAAAAAAGAAAAAGAAUAUGUAUCAAUAAUGACACUUUCUUCCUGGAGAUUACUUUUCAGGAGUUACUCUAGCAGUUACUGAAAAAGAAGAAGCAGGAGCACAAUGGACAGGAAUUGUAACAACCAUUGCAGUGGAAAUGCUGAAAGCAAAUAUUGUAGAUGUUGUCAUUUGUGUGCAGAGGUGAUAGCAGUGUUUUAUUUUAGUAGAUCAAAGAAUAAAGGUUGCUGGUUAUUAGCUGACAGUUAGUUAUUUCUUUAUUGUGUCUUUUUAGUGAUCCAGAGGACAGACUUACUCCAAAGCCAGUCUUGGCCAGGUAUGUAAACUGCAUUUGAACUGAAAUGCUGACUAUGCCACAUGUGAUCUAAGUGAAGGUAUCACUAAUACCAUCCCUUAAAAAUAAUAAGUUCCAAGAACGCAAAAUGCUAAUUCAACUGAGUUAAGUCAGGGGUACAAUGAAUUCAUGGUAUGUUCUAUUUGAAUAACAUGCAUGGGUCUC